rnacentral:rRNA from 1 species
UACGUAGGGUGCGAGCGUUGUCCGGAAUUAUUGGGCGUAAAGAGCUCGUAGGCGGUGUGUCACGUCGAUCGUGAAAACUUACAGCUUAACUGUGAGCGUGCGGUCGAUACGGGCAUCACUGGAGUUCGGCAGGGGAGACUGGAAUUCCUGGUGUAGCGGUGAAAUGCGCAGAUAUCGGGAGGAACACCUAUGGCGAAGGCAGCUCGCUGGGACGUUACUGACACUGAGGCGCGAAAGCGUGGGGAGCGAACAGG